UCCCUGAUGGUCCAGUGGUUAGGACUCAGCACUUGCACUGCUGUGGCUGGGUUUAAUCCCUGGUCAGGGAA